rnacentral:rRNA from 1 species
AAACUUUCAACAAUGGAUCUCUUGGUUCCGGCAUCUAUGAAGAACGCAUCGAAAUGCGAUAAGUAAUGUGAAUUGCAAAAUUCCGUGAAUCAUCUAAUCUUUGAACGCACAUUGCGCCCCCUGGCAUUCCGGGGGGCAUGCCUGUCCGAUCGUCCUUU